UACGUAGGGUGCAAGCGUUGUUCGGAAUCAUUGGGCGUAAAGCGCGUGUAGGUGGCUGGCUAAGUCAGAUGUGAAAUCCCUGGGCUCAACCGAGGAAGUGCAUUUGAAACUAGUCAGCUGGAGAGUGGUAGAGGAAGGUGGAAUUCCGUGUGUAGAGGUGAAAUUCGUAGAUAUACGGAGGAAUACCGGUGGCGAAGGCGGCCUUCUGGACCAUUUCUGACGCUGAGACGCGAAAGCGUGGGGAGCAAACAGG
rnacentral:rRNA from 1 species